rnacentral:rRNA from 1 species
AACGAACGCUGGCGGCGGGCUUAACACAUGCAAGUCGAACGGAAAGGCCCUGCUUUUGUGGGGUGCUGGGGUGGGGAAGGGGUGAGUAACACGUGAGUAACCUGCCCUUGACUUUCGGAUAACUUCACGAAACUGGGGCUAAUACCGGAUAGGAGCUCCUGCUGGGUGGUGGGGGUGGGAAAUUUUCGGCGGGUGGGGUUGGACUCGCGGCUUAUCAGCUUGUUGGUGGGGGAGUGGCUGACCAAGGCUUUGCCGGGUAGCCGGCCUGUGAGGGUGACCGGCCACAUUGGGACUGAGAUACGGCCCAGACUACUACGGGAGGCAGCAGUGGGGAAUAUUGCACAAUGGGCGGAAGCCUGAUGCAGCCACGCCGCGUGCGGGAUGACGGCCUUCGGGUUGUAAACCGCAUCCGCCUGUGACGAAGCGUGAGUGACGGUAAUGGGUAAAGAAGCACCGGCUAACUACGUG